rnacentral:rRNA from 1 species
GCUCAUGAUGAACGCUAGCUACAGGCUUAACACAUGCAAGUCGAGGGGCAGCAUUUUAGUUUGCUUGCAAACUGAAGAUGGCGACCGGCGCACGGGUGAGUAACACGUAUCCAACCUGCCGAUAACUCCGGAAUAGCCUUUCGAAAGAAAGAUUAAUACCGGAUAGCAUACGAAUAUCGCAUGAUAUUUUUAUUAAAGAAUUUCGGUUAUCGAUGGGGAUGCGUUCCAUUAGUUUGUUGGCGGGGUAACGGCCCACCAAGACUACGAUGGAUAGGGGUUCUGAGAGGAAGGUCCCCCACAUUGGAACUGAGACACGGUCCAAACUCCUACGGGAGGCAGCAGUGAGGAAUAUUGGUCAAUGGGCGAGAGCCUGAACCAGCCAAGUAGCGUGAAGGAUGAAGGCUCUAUGGGUCGUAAACUUCUUUUAUAUGGGAAUAAAGUUUUCCACGUGUGGAAUUUUGUAUGUACCAUAUGAAUAAGGAUCGGCUAACUCCGUGCCAGCAGCCGCGGUAAUACGGAGGAUCCGAGCGUUAUCCGGAUUUAUUGGGUUUAAAGGGAGCGUAGGUGGAUUGUUAAGUCAGUUGUGAAAGUUUGCGGCUCAACCGUAAAAUUGCAGUUGAAACUGGCAGUCUUGAGUACAGUAGAGGUGGGCGGAAUUCGUGGUGUAGCGGUGAAAUGCUUAGAUAUCACGAAGAACUCCGAUUGCGAAGGCAGCUCACUAGACUGUCACUGACACUGAUGCUCGAAAGUGUGGGUAUCAAACAGGAUUAGAUACCCUGGUAGUCCACACAGUAAACGAUGAAUACUCGCUGUUUGCGAUAUACAGUAAGCGGCCAAGCGAAAGCAUUAAGUAUUCCACCUGGGGAGUACGCCGGCAACGGUGAAACUCAAAGGAAUUGACGGGGGCCCGCACAAGCGGAGGAACAUGUGGUUUAAUUCGAUGAUACGCGAGGAACCUUACCCGGGCUUAAAUUGCAACAGAAUAUAUUGGAAACAGUAUAGCCGUAAGGCUGUUGUGAAGGUGCUGCAUGGUUGUCGUCAGCUCGUGCCGUGAGGUGUCGGCUUAAGUGCCAUAACGAGCGCAACCCUUAUCUUUAGUUACUAACAGGUUAUGCUGAGGACUCUAGAGAGACUGCCGUCGUAAGAUGUGAGGAAGGUGGGGAUGACGUCAAAUCAGCACGGCCCUUACGUCCGGGGCUACACACGUGUUACAAUGGGGGGUACAGAAGGCGGCUACCUGGUGACAGGAUGCUAAUCCCAAAAACCUCUCUCAGUUCGGAUCGAAGUCUGCAACCCGACUUCGUGAAGCUGGAUUCGCUAGUAAUCGCGCAUCAGCCAUGGCGCGGUGAAUACGUUCCCGGGCCUUGUACACACCGCCCGUCAAGCCAUGAAAGCCGGGGGUACCUGAAGUACGUAACCGCAAGGAGCGUCCUAGGGUAAAACUGGU